rnacentral:rRNA from 1 species
GAAACCAACAGGGAUUGCCUCAGUAACGGCGAGUGAAGCGGCAAAAGCUCAAAUUUGAAAUCCCCCGGGAAUUGUAAUUUGAAGAGAUUUGGGUCCGGCCGGCAGGGGUUAAGUCCACUGGAAAGUGGCGCCACAGAGGGUGACAGCCCCGUGAACCCCUUCAACGCCUUCAUCCCAGAUCUCCAAGAGUCGAGUUGUUUGGGAAUGCAGCUCUAAGUGGGUGGUAAAUUCCAUCUAAAGCUAAAUACCGGCGAGAGACCGAUAGCGAACAAGUACAGUGAUGGAAAGAUGAAAAGCACUUUGAAAAGAGAGUGAAAAAGUACGUGAAAUUGUUGAAAGGGAAGGGCUUGCAAGCAGACACUUAACUGGGCCAGCAUCGGGGCGGCGGGAAACAAAACCACCGGGGAAUGUACCUUUCGAGGAUUAUAACCCCGGCCCUUUUUUCCAUGUUGCCCCGAGGCCUGCAAUCUAAGGAUGCUGGCGUAAUGGUUGCAAGUCGCC